UACCCUCCGAUCUGUUUCACCGAAUCACAAAUUCCAAUCCCUAAUUGAAGAAUCAAGGCUUACUGAACCCAAAUCGAAGCUCAGUGAAACGAAUCGAAGCUCUCUCAGCUCGUUCCGCUCCCUCCGACCGAAAACACAAACAGGGGACAAGGCAAAGGAUCAGAAACCAUUUGGCAGUAACUGCUUAGUAUAUUAAUAUCAAUUGAAUUCACUCAGAUUCAGUUCAAAAUAUUCCUAAUUUUAUAGUCAAUUGAAGUUAGCCUAUGUUGUUGAUGCAUAUGCCUCUUAUGGGAGGUCUGAUGCUUUGAAUGGAAAGUCAUUGUGAAAAAAAAAUUAUGCAAAGGACAAGCAUGAUGUUGUCUAGUUUUGGCUGGAGAAAGGCAAGCUUCAUGAGUAUCUUGUGUGCACACAUUAUUUUGAUGGAAGUUGAACAUCUUAUUUAGAAUUUUUAUUGUUACUGGCCAACAUGAUUAAUUUGGAGUUAAGUGUCAUGAUAUUUAAAGUUAGUAAUAUCCAUUACGAUGCCAAUGUGGAUGGAUGGCGGGAUCUUGAUUGGAGUAGCAAGGCCAUACAUAUUGCUGCUAGAAACCAAACAAAGUGGUCACAUUAGGUUGCUAAGUAGUCUUUGUUUACCCUUCAGAAAUGGUAGAAAAAUAGGUUGAGAUUGUAAGGGAAGAAGGAUUGAAGAUAUCUCAACCAGCUCUUGAUCCAAAUUCGACAGAGAUACAUCAUAGAAUUACAGUUAGAGCUAGGACCAACAAAGUGCAUAGGUGUUCAAUGAUCCCACGACAUUAACAGAGGAGGAGCUGUAUGAUUUGCGAGACCGCUGGGCAACUUGUUUUCUUGACCUAUAUAUAAUCCUGAGGUAGAUUAUGAUGAUGCCGACAAGAAAG